GCCGGCAGCUAGCUCUCUGCAACUCUCCCAUGGUCACCCAAUGAAGCUAAGCAGGGCUGCGCCCAGGCAGCACCUGGAUGGGUGACCACAUGAGAAAGCUAGGUUGCUGCCAGAA
ensembl:rRNA 5S_rRNA 5S ribosomal RNA